rnacentral:rRNA from 1 species
GUAAGGGCAUGUAGGCGGUCUGUUAAGUCUGGUGUGAAAGCCGGGGUGGCCCCGGAAGUGCAUCAGAUACUGGCCGACUUGAGCAUGGGAGAGGAAAGUGGAAUUCCGAGUGUAGGAGUGAAAUCCGUAGAUAUUCGGAGGAACACCAGUGGCGAAGGCGGCUUUCUGGACCAAUACUGACGCUGAGAUGCGGAAGCGUGGGGAGCGAACAGGAUUAGAUACCCUGGUAGUCCACGCCGUAAACGAUGGGUACUAGAUGUUGCGGGUAAUCACUCCUGCAGUGUCGCAGCUAACGCAUUAAGUACCCCGCCUGGGGAUUACGGCCGCAAGGCUAAAACUCAAAAGAAUUGACGGGGGCCCGCACAAGCGGUGGAGCAUGUGGUUUAAUUCGACGCAACGCGAAGAACCUUACCUGGGCUUGACAUCCCGAUCGUACUCUAUGGAAAGGUAGAGGUCAGCUUGGCUGGAUCGGUGACAGGUGCUGCAUGGCUGUCGUCAGCUCGUGUCGUGAGAUGUUGGGUUAAGUCCCGCAACGAGCGCAACCCUUGUCCUUAGUUGCCAUCAUUAAGUUGGGCACUCUAGGGAAACUGCCGGUGUUAAACCGGAGGAAGGUGGGGAUGACGUCAAGUCCUCAUGGCCCUUAUGCCCAGGGCUACACACGUGCUACAAUGGCCGGUACAAAGGGCAGCGAUACCGCAAGGUGGAGCAAAUCCCAAAAAGCCGGUCUCAGUUCGGAUUGGAGUCUGCAACUCGACUCCAUGAAGUUGGAAUCGCUAGUAAUCGCGUAUCAGCAUGACGCGGUGAAUACGUU